rnacentral:rRNA from 1 species
AGUGAACGCUGGCGGUAGGCCUAACACAUGCAAGUCGAACGGCAGCACAGUAAGAGCUUGCUCUUACGGUUGGCGAGUGGCGGACGGGUGAGGAAUACAUCGGAAUCUACUUUUUCGUGGGGGAUAACGUAGGGGAACUUACGCUAAUACCGCAUACGACCUACGGGGGAAAGCAGGGGAUCUUCGGACCUUGCGCGAUUGAAUGCGCCGAUGUCGGAUUAGCUAGUUGGCGGGGUAAAGGCCCACCAAGGCGACGAUCCGUAGCUGGUCUGAGAGGAUGAUCAGCCACACUGGAACUGAGACACGGUCCAGACUCCUACGGGAGGCAGCAGUGGGGAAUAUUGGACAAUGGGCGCAAGCCUGAUCCAGCCAUACCGCGUGGGUGAAGAAGGCCUUCGGGUUGUAAAGCCCUUUUGUUGGGAAAGAAAAGCAGCAGGUUAAUACCCCGCUGUUCUGACGGUACCAAAAGAAUAAGCACCGGCUAACUUCGUG